rnacentral:sRNA from 1 species
ACCGUAGACAGCGGGUGCGAAAGCUUAAUUUCCCGCCGAGGUACAAUAUAAAAAUAUUGGCCUUGCCCGUCUGCGCGGACAGGGCUUUUUUUAUGG